GUGGGGAAUAUUGGGCAAUGGGCGAAAGCCUGACCCAGCAACGCCGCGUGAAGGAAGAAGGUUUUCGGAUCGUAAACUUCUAUCCUUGGUGAAGAUAAUGACGAUAGCCAAGAAGGAAGCCCCGGCUAACUACGUGCCAGCAGCCGCGGUAAUACGUAGGGGGCAAGCGUUGUCCGGAAUGAUUGGGCGUAAAGGGCGCGUAGGCGGCCUGGUAAGUCUGGAGUGAAAGUCCUGCUUUUAAGGUGGGAAUUGCUUUGGAUACUGUCGGGCUUGAGUGCAGGAGAGGUAAGUGGAAUUCCCGGUGUAGCGGUGAAAUGCGUAGAGAUCGGGAGGAACACCAGUGGCGAAGGCGACUUACUGGACUGUAACUGACGCUGAGGCGCGAAAGUGUGGGGAGCAAACAGGAUUAGAAACCCCGGUAGUCC
rnacentral:rRNA from 1 species